GAAGGACUUAAAUAAGAUUUAUUGGUGGAAUGUAGGAAAAUUUAAUUCACAUAAGUUCACUAAUAUUUUAAUUAAAAGUGAAAUUUUAAACUAAACAGAAAAAACUAAGAGAAUUUUAUUUUAUCUACUCAAAUAAGAUAAUAAACUAGGAUUAGAUACCCUAUUAUUCUUAUCUAAUUUUGCCAGGGUAGUAAAAGUAAAUCUUCAAACCCAAAGAAUUUGACGGCAUCUCACUCUUUCCAGAGGAACCUGUCCCGUAAUCGACAGUCCACGCUAAACCUUACCCUCUUUUAUUUAGUUUGUAUACCUCCGUUGCCAGAUAAUUCUCAAAAGAAAUUAUCUAAAUUAACUAUUUUACUAACUUCAGGUCAAGGUGCAGCCUAUAAGAGGGUGGUGAUGGGUUACAUUAAUAAUAAAUUAAACGGAAAUUUAAUGAAAAAAUGAUUUAAGGUGGAUUUGGAAGUAAACUUACUUUAGUAAAGUAACUUGAAAAAAGCUCUGAGAUGUGUACACAUCGCCCGUCGCUCUUCCUAAUAAAGGG
rnacentral:rRNA from 1 species